AGAGUUUGAUCAUGGCUCAGAACGAACGCUGGCGGCGUGGAUAAGACAUGCAAGUCGAACGCUGAUUUCAGGGUAGCAAUAUUUUGAAGUCGGAGUGGCGCAAGGGUGUGUAACACGUGGGUAAUCUACCGUGAAGUCUGGGAUAACUCGCUGAAAGGCGAGCUAAUACCGGAUGUGAAUGUGAAUUCAAAGUUGGGGACCGCAAGGCCUGACGCUUUACGAUGAGCCCGCGGCCUAUCAGCUAGUUGGUGAGGUAACGGCUCACCAAGGCUAAGACGGGUAGCUGGUCUGAGAGGACGACCAGCCACACUGGAACUGAGACACGGUCCAGACACCUACGGGUGGCAGCAGUCGAGAAUUUUUCUCAAUGGGCGAAAGCCUGAAGGAGCGACGCCGCGUGGGGGAUGAAUGGCUUCGGCCCGUAAACCCCUGUCAUUUGCGAACAAAUUACUUUACCUAACACGUAAAGUAUUGAUUGUAGCGGAAGAGGAAGGGACGGCUAACUCUGUGCCAGCAGCCGCGGUAAUACAGAGGUCCCAAGCGUUGUUCGGAUUCACUGGGCGUAAAGGGUGCGUAGGCGGCAGGGUAAGUCUGUUGUGAAAUCUCCGAGCUUAACUCGGAAACUGCAAUGGAUACUAUCCUGCUAGAGGAAUGGAGGGGAGACUGGAAUACUUGGUGUAGCAGUGAAAUGCGUAGAUAUCAAGUGGAACACCAGUGGCGAAGGCGAGUCUCUGGACAUUUCCUGACGCUGAGGCACGAAAGCCAGGGGAGCAAACGGGAUUAGAUACCCCAGUAGUCC
rnacentral:rRNA from 1 species